AACGAACGCUGGCGGCGUGCUUAACACAUGCAAGUCGAACGGGUCUGCCCUGUUUUUUGCGGGGUGGGUCAGUGGCGAACGGGUGAGUAACACGUGAGUAACCUGCCCCUCACUUCUGGAUAACCGCUUGAAAGGGUGGCUAAUACGGGGUGUUCUGGCUGUGCCGCAUGGUGUGGCUGGGAAAGAUUCACUUUUGUGGUGUUUUGGUGGGGGAUGGGCUCGCGGCCUAUCAGCUUGUUGGUGGGGUGAUGGCCUGCCAAGGCUUUGACGGGUAGCCGGCCUGAGAGGGUGGGCGGUCACACUGGGACUGAGAUACGGCCCAGACUCCUGCGGGAGGCAGCAGUGGGGGGUAUUGCACAAUGGGCGGAAGCCUGAUGCAGCGACGUCGCGUGAGGGAUGGAGGCCUUCGGGUUGUGAACCUCUUUCGCCGGUGAAGAAGGUCCUGCUCUUUGUGGUGGGGUUGACGGUAGCCGGGUUAUGAAGCGCCGGCUAACUACGUG
rnacentral:rRNA from 1 species